rnacentral:tRNA from 1 species
GCGCCCAUAGCUCAGCCGGCAGAGCAACGGAUUCUUAAUCCGUGGGUCCUAGGUUCGAAUCCUAGUGGGCGCACCA